AGGACGAACGCUGGCGGCGUGCUUAACACAUGCAAGUCGAACGGUGAAGGAGAGCUUGCUCUCCGGAUCAGUGGCGAACGGGUGAGUAACACGUGAGUAACCUGCCCUUGACUCUGGGAUAAGCGUUGGAAACGACGUCUAAUACCGGAUACGAGCUUCAGCCGCAUGGCUAGGAGCUGGAAGGAAUUUCGGUCAAGGAUGGACUCGCGGCCUAUCAGCUAGUUGGUGAGGUAAUGGCUCACCGAAGGCGACGACGGGUAGCCGGCCUGAGGAGGGUGACCGGCACGACGUGGGACUGAGACACGGCCCAGACCUACCGUACGGGAGCAGCAGGUACGGGAAUAUGCACGAAGUGGCGACAAGCCUGAUGCACGGCAACGCCGGCGGUAGGGGGACGAA
rnacentral:rRNA from 1 species